CCCCCUACUUCACUAUAUCUAAUUCAAUUCUCUAAUGGGUUCAGUCAAAUGUAAUACAGAACAGGGUAAUAAAAAACAUCUUUAAGCCAACAAUAUGUUACAGGCCCCUGGUAUAGUUUUGCUAAGUGUUCGAAACAUUUGAAAGCACUUAAGCUAGCUUGCUAGUCACUGCUAACUAGCAUGUUAUAUCAUUAGCAUGAAAAAUGAAAGUUAAACACUCUUUCAUUAAUUAGACAGCUUAGCAAUGAUGGCUGUAGUGCUAAACAAUUGACGGAGUAUUGCCAAGGUGAGCUUCUUCUUAGCUAGCUAAUCAAUGUAAAGAAGAGUUAGCAACCAUGGUACAUGUUAUCUAAGUAUUAGCAAAAAUAAAUAGCUAGACACUCAAUUCCCCGUGUGUGCAUUCACAGUCAAACAGGGUAUACAGAAUGCAGAUUUACUGGUGCAGUAAAGGUGUAUACAUUUCAAUCAUAGAGGAUUUAUGUACAUUGUACAAAUACAAAGAGAAACUAGAGUUAAUAGAGUAAGGCUAGGACUAGCACUAGGGAAAAUGUUGGCGCUACGAAGACACGUUUUCUCUCUAUACAGCGACAUUUUUGGCUCUUUUGGUGGAAGAUGUUUCUGGAGGGAAUGUUGCAUUUCACGGAAAAGCUACAUGUUCGCUGGCUAAGUAGUAAACUAGCCAUUGUUUAGCAUUCCCUCCAUUUUUGUCCCAAAUCAUCCGAACUGACAGAUUAAAGAAAAACUUUGUUCCUAAGGUGUAUAAUGCACACACGCACAAAAAUUUGCUCUAUGCUACUGAUUCAGACAUUAAAAGAAAAGGACACUUAAAUAUGUUUAUAUCGAAAUAUUUGUGAUGUGCUGUGUGACGAGGAUGAGGGAGGGGCCAGGCUGUGAGCGACCUACUCAGUGAGAGUUUGUUUGUCUUUUAUGUUAUCUUCGAGUUCUUUACAUUUAUGUUCGGCCGGUUCCCGCCUCCUCCUUUCCCGUCUGUGAAGAUCGUUACAUGCUGCUUAGCGAUUCUGGUGCUGAUUUGUUGGUUGGUGCUUUUCCUGUGACGAGUUAGGGGUUUUGUGCAGGUUUUGUGGUUGAUCUAGUAAUUCGGUUCAUUGUCCUGUAUUUAGCCAUCAGGCCUCCCAAAUAUUACACAACUUCAAUCUCUAAAUGGCUUCACAGAGUGCAUGUGUUUUCUUG
ensembl:lncRNA